rnacentral:rRNA from 1 species
GACGAACGCUGGCGGCGUGCCUAAUACAUGCAAGUAGAACGCUGAAGAGAGGAGCUUGCUCUUCUUGGAUGGGUUGCGAACGGGUGAGUAACGCGUAGGUAACCUGCCUUGUAGCGGGGGAUAACUAUUGGAAACGAUAGCUAAUACCGCAUAACAAUGGAUGACACAUGUCAUUUAUUUGAAAGGGGCAAUUGCUCCACUACAAGAUGGACCUGCGUUGUAUUAGCUAGUAGGUGAGGUAAUGGCUCACCUAGGCGACGAUACAUAGCCGACCUGAGAGGGUGAUCGGCCACACUGGGACUGAGACACGGCCCAGACUCCUACGGGAGGCAGCAGUAGGGAAUCUUCGGCAAUGGGGGCAACCCUGACCGAGCAACGCCGCGUGAGUGAAGAAGGGUUUCGGAUCGUAAAGCUCGGUUGUAAGUCAAGAACGGGUGUGAGAGUGGAAAGUUCACACUGUGACGGUAGCUGACCAGAAAGGGACGGCUAACUACGUG